rnacentral:rRNA from 1 species
AAAAACAUUUUUUAUAGAAAUAAUUAUAAGUAACACCUGCUCAAUGAAACUUAAAUAGCCGCGGAAAUUUAACUGUGCUAAGGUAGCAUAAUCAUUAGCCUCUUAAUUAGAGGCUUGUAUGAAUGGUGAAACAAUUUAAUAUCUUUAUUACUUACUUUUUUUAAAUUUAAAUUAAGAAUAAAAAUGUUCUUAUAUAAAAAAUAGACGAUAAGACCCUUUUGAACUUUACAUUUUGUUUGGCUGGGGCAGCCAAAUAAUUUAAAUUUUAUUUAUUUUUGUAUAAAAAUAAACGAUCCAAUUAAAUUGAUUAUUUGACUAAGUUACCAUAGGGAUAACAGCGUAAUGUCUUUUUAAAGCUCUUAUUAAAAAAGAAGAUUGCGACCUCGAUGUUGAAUUAAUAUAACUUUACAUAGUGCAAUAACUGUAAAAGUAGGUCUGUUCGACCUUUAAUUUAUUACAUGAU